rnacentral:rRNA from 1 species
UACACUCCUGCGGGAGGCAGCAGUGGGGAAUAUUGCACAAUGGGCGCAAGCCUGAUGCAGCCAUGCCGCGUGUAUGAAGAAGGCCUUCGGGUUGUAAAGUACUUUCAGCGGGGAGGAAGGCAAUACGGUUAAUAACCGUGUUGAUUGACGUUACCCGCAGAAGAAGCACCGGCUAACUCCGUGCCAGCAGCCGCGGUAAUACGGAGGGUGCAAGCGUUAAUCGGAAUUACUGGGCGUAAAGCGCACGCAGGCGGUCUGUCAAGUCGGAUGUGAAAUCCCCGGGCUCAACCUGGGAACUGCAUUCGAAACUGGCAGGCUUGAGUCUUGUAGAGGGGGGUAGAAUUCCAGGUGUAGCGGUGAAAUGCGUAGAGAUCUGGAGGAAUACCGGUGGCGAAGGCGGCCCCCUGGACAAAGACUGACGCUCAGGUGCGAAAGCGUGGGGAGCAAACAGGAUUAGAAACCCUUGUAGUCCCAUG